GAAGCCGCGGCGUUGGCGAGGCCGGUCCCGGCUCCCCAGCCGCCGCGCCCCAGCUCCGUCCUCCCGGCUCGGCCGGCCGCCCUGGGCCCCUCCCCGCACCGCCCGCCUCUACGUUCUGGACCCGGACCCGACCGGCCCGGCUCCGGUCCCUGCCCGGGUCCCGGUCUCUUCUGGCAGGCCACGCCACCUCUUGGCUUUCUGCCCACUAAUAAGAUUGUUGAUGUUGAUGACUGGGCACAGGCUGCGGCCCCUCCUGAGCCCCUCAGAAGCAAAACUGGAAUGAGAGUGGGGAGCUGCCCGUCUUCCAGCAGGAGGCGGGCCCCGACUCCCGCCGAGCGACUCCGGGCCCCGCGCGGUCCCUGUCACCUUGUAUUCUCAUUGCCCGUUCCGCGGCCGUCAGCUCCCAGGAUUGCCCCAUUUAGCAAAUAGCUUUCGACAACCCCUCUUCGUCAGACGUUGUAGGUGCAGAGGUGCUGGAGUGGACAGAGGCAAGGCGCCCGCUCUUGGGGAGCUCACGUUCUGGUGGGAAGAGACAGAAACACAUUAAGAACCUAUCUGUAAAAUAAAGAUAAUUUCAGGUGCA
rnacentral:lncRNA from 10 species